CCGAGUUUUUAUUACUCCAAACCCUUUGCCAAUCUACCUCUGAUAUGCUUCGGCGGCCGGCCCUGGGAGGGCGCUGAAAAAAACGGUCGCCGAUAGUAUUUUUUCAAAAACUUUUUCUGUCAGUGUAUUCUGAAUCACUAUAAGAAAACAAAUCA
rnacentral:misc_RNA from 1 species